AUCGCAGGCUGCAACCCGCCUGCGUGAAGUCGGAAUCGCUAGUAAUCGCGGAUCAGCAUGCCGCGGUGAAUACGUUCCCGGGCCUUGUACACACCGCCCGUCACACCAUGAGAGUCGGGAACACCCGAAGUCCGUAGCCUAACAGCAAUGAGGGCGCGGCCGAAGGUGGGUUCGAUAAUUGGGGUGAAGUCGUAACAAGGUAGC
rnacentral:rRNA from 1 species